CUUGGGUGUUACCUAUAAGGAAGAGAAGUGUGUGUUUGUGUGUCGGUGAGAGGACAGAAGAGCUCACAUCAGUUCAACUUCAACAUCAACCAUGUUCUCUGUAGCUCUGAUACUGUUGCUGGCAGCUGGAUCUUGUGUGGACAGUCUUAAUCUCGUGCAGCCAGAGUCAGUGGUUGUGCAGCCUGGACAGUCUUUGACCAUCACCUGUCAGGUCUCUGGAUAUUCUUUGACUGAUGACAGCUAUGCAACAGGUUGGAUCAGACAGUGUGAAGGAAAACCAAUGGACUGGAUUUCCCAUCAGUGGGGUGGAGGUACCCUUCGUCAAAAUAGUGCUCUGAAGAACAAGUUCAGCUACAGCAGAGACACUUCUGCUGCAACAGUGACUCUAAAAGGACAGAAUGUGUAGCCUGAAGACACAGCUGUUUAUUACUGUGCACGUCGG